rnacentral:lncRNA from 1 species
UUUUUUUUCUCUGAAUAUUGUCCUAUCUGAUUGUGGAACCUGGAAUUUCUGAAUCAUCUUUCUAUCAGUUUAUGGAUGAAGUCAUCCCAAAGUGUCCCUUCAGCAUUGACAGAUGGAAGGGAAUGAAUGGAGAGGAAGAAGGCAAAGGACUGGACUCUAGAGAACCUCAACACCUGGUAGGUGCUGUGAAAAGAGGAAUCUCAGAAAAGAAAAUAUCAAUCAAAGGUACAGAGAUGAACCAGAAUAACAGUUAGAAAAACUAAAAAAUAAAGAACUUCAAGAAAAAUGUCACGGCCAAUAUCAUCCUGCUGUUGAAUGGGCUUAUCAGGUAAGGUCUGAGCAGAGACUAUACAGUCUGAAGCAAAAGCAGUUGCAGUGAAAUGAUGGUGCUGAAACCUGAUUUCUAAAGCUUGAGAGACAGAGAGGCAUUAGACUGUGUAAGGAGACCAUAGGAGAAGCUGAGUACAUUUUCAGAGAGUUUUCUAGUGAAGCAGGGGAAGAAAAGUCACUAAGUAAAGUUGUUAUUUUUUUUUUUUUUUUUUUUUUUUUUUUUUUUUACAGGGAAUAAUUCAGGGUGAGGGAAACCUAUGGGUAAAAGUGAUAAAGUCACAAAAGAAGAGAUAUUAUGGAACUGUGACAACUUUGAACAGGAUUUAUAUGCUCUGACUCAGCCUGAUCUCCAUCAGGAAUACCUGUGGCCCUGGUCACUGCCUGAGUUGUCGAUGCAUGCUCAAUUAGAUGCAUUUACAACUUCAUGCACAACUGAAGGCCUCUGUUGUAAGUGUGACUAUAAUUACCUGGCAGACAAUCCCGACACCAAUUUAGCAGCCAAACAUGGACAUACGUUAUCUCCAUUUUCAAGGCUCUUAAUAACUAGCAUUUACUGAGAAUAUACUUUAUGCUACACACUGUUAAUUAUUUUGCAUGCAUUAGCUACUUACAUCUUUGUAACUAUCCCAUGAAUUAGGUAUACUCUUUUUCUCUUUAACAGAACAGAGAUUUGAGGCCCAUUCAGAUUAACUUGCUCACAGUUGUGAAAGUCCUAUGACUAGAAUUUGAUGCCAUAUCAGUCUGACUUCAAGAGAUUAAGCUCUUAACCCCUAUGUAUGCUGCCUCUCAAUAAAAUGCCUCACACUUGCUUCUUUUCUUUGCUUUUACUAUUGAGCAGAAAGAAAAAAAUACAACUUAUUAAAAAGUAUAAUCUAAGAAUUCCUGAUGUCUGUAAAGUUAGUAUAAAAUAACUUCGAAUUUAACAAUUGUAACUAAUAAAUAAACCAGGCAAGCACACUAAAGAUGAGUUGUACGCAUUUUGCCAAGACAAUACAUUAAAAAAUCAUAAAAUAAAAAGUUCUUAACCAUAUAUAUGAAAUGCACAUUAUAGCAUUCUUUUUUCAAGAAAAA